UCAUUAUCACAAAUCAAGCUCGGCUUGCUGUUGGACCUCUUGUCGGGAAAAGACAGGCCCCAAAGAUAAUGACGGUGUUAUUAGAACCCUAGAUGCAACGAGCUUUAACUAGCACGCACCAUAGUGGCCUUUUAACCCGGUCUUUUUAACCAAUUUCUAAGGUUGACCUCGGAUCAGGUAGGAAUACCCGCUGAACUUAA
rnacentral:misc_RNA from 1 species